GGCUCUUCGUUUAUUGUUGUUGGAUGGGGAGUCGGACCUGCCCGGUGAGUUUUUAACGGCCGCGGUACUCUGACCGUGCAAAGGUAGCAUAAUCAUUUGUCUUAUAAUUAAAGACUGGUAUGAAUGGUUUGACAAGAAUGCAGCUGUCUCUUUGUGAUUUGUUAGAAUUUUAUUUGUAGGUGAAGAAGCCUGUAUAGUAUUAAAAGACGAGAAGACCCUAUCGAGCUUAAAAGGAGUUGAUGGUUUAUAAUUUAAUAUUGGGUAAAAGAUAGGUCUAUUAUAGAUUUUGGUUGGGGCGACUAAGGAACAGGGAUAGCUUCCUUUAUUGUUUAUUUUCUAACUGGUGUUGAUCCAAGAGGUUUUGAUUAAAGGAAUUAGUUACCGUAGGGAUAACAGCAUUAUCUUUUUUAAGAGUUCCUAUCGAAAAAAAGGUUUGUGACCUCGAUGUUGGACCAGAAUGUCCUAAGGAUGUAGAAGUCUUUAAGGGUUGGUCUGUUCGACCAUUAAAAUUUUACG
rnacentral:rRNA from 1 species